CAUAGGUUAAUGAGGCGAACCGGGGGAACUGAAACAUCUAAGUACCCCGAGGAAAAGAAAUCAACCGAGAUUCCCCCAGUAGCGGCGAGCGAACGGGGAGCAGCCCAGAGCCUGAAUCAGUGUGUGUGUUAGUGGAAGCGUCUGGAAAGGCGCGCGAUACAGGGUGACAGCCCCGUACACAAAAAUGCACAUGCUGUGAGCUCGAUGAGUAGGGCGGGACACGUGGUAUCCUGUCUGAAUAUGGGGGGACCAUCCUCCAAGGCUAAAUACUCCUGACUGACCGAUAGUGAACCAGUACCGUGAGGGAAAGGCGAAAAGAACCCCGGCGAGGGGAGUGAAAAAGAACCUGAAACCGUGUACGUACAAGCAGUGGGAGCACGCUUAGGCGUGUGACUGCGUACCUUUUGUAUAAUGGGUCAGCGACUUAUAUUCUGUAGCAAGGUUAACCGAAUAGGGGAGCCGAAGGGAAACCGAGUCUUAACUGGGCGUUAAGUUGCAGGGUAUAGACCCGAAACCCGGUGAUCUAGCCAUGGGCAGGUUGAAGGUUGGGUAACACUAACUGGAGGACCGAACCGACUAAUGUUGAAAAAUUAGCGGAUGACUUGUGGCUGGGGGUGAAAGGCCAAUCAAACCGGGAGAUAGCUGGUUCUCCCCGAAAGCUAUUUAGGUAGCGCCUCGUGAAUUCAUCUCCGGGGGUAGAGCACUGUUUCGGCAAGGGGGUCAUCCCGACUUACCAACCCGAUGCAAACUGCGAAUACCGGAGAAUGUUAUCACGGGAGACACACGGCGGGUGCUAACGUCCGUCGUGAAGAGGGAAACAACCCAGACCGCCAGCUAAGGUCCCAAAGUCAUGGUUAAGUGGGAAACGAUGUGGGAAGGCCCAGACAGCCAGGAUGUUGGCUUAGAAGCAGCCAUCAUUUAAAGAAAGCGUAAUAGCUCACUGGUCGAGUCGGCCUGCGCGGAAGAUGUAACGGGGCUAAACC
rnacentral:rRNA from 1 species